UGAGGGAAUAUUGGGUCAAUGGCCGCAAGGCUGAACCAGCCAAGUAGCGUGAAGGAUGACCGCCCUACGGGUCGUAAACUUCUUUUAUAAAGGAAUAAAGGCGUCCACGUGUGGAUGUUUGCAUGUACUUUAUGAAUAAGCAUCGGCUAACUCCGUGCCAGCAGCCGCGGUAAUACGGAGGAUGCGAGCGUUAUCCGGAUUUAUUGGGUUUAAAGGGAGCGCAGACGGGCUGUUAAGUCAGCCGUGAAAUGCCGCGGCUCAACCGUGGACCUGCAGUUGAUACUGGCGGCCUUGAGUGCGGUUGAGGCAGGCGGAAUUCGUGGUGUAGCGGUGAAAUGCUUAGAUAUCACGAAGAACCCCGAUUGCGAAGGCAGCCUGCCAAUCCGUUACUGACGUUCAUGCUCGAAGGUGCGGGUAUCAAACAGGAUUAGAUA
rnacentral:rRNA from 1 species